GUCACUGUGACCCGAAAUAGUAAAAUGGUUUCCGGAUGAUAAUUCAAGAACGCUUAUGCCUAGGAUCAUGAAACUUGAUAGAUAGAUUGAUCAUGACUGGCAGAUGACCCCUAUUGAUUUUCAGGUCACUAGGUCAAAGGUCAAGGUCACGGUGACCCGAAAUAGUAAAAUGGUUUCCGGAUGAUAACUCAAGAACGCUUAUGCCUAGGAUCAUGAAACUUGAUAGGUAGAUUGACCAUGACUCGCAGAUGACCCCUAUUGAUUUUGAGGUCACUAGGUCAAAGGUCAAGGUCACGGUGACCCGAAAUAGUAAAAUGGUUUCCGGAUGAUAACUCAAGAACGCUUAUGCCUAGGAUCAUGAAACUUGAUAGGUAGUUUGAUCAUGACUGGCAGAUGACCCCUAUUGAUUUUCAGGUCACUAGGUCAAAGGUCAAGGUCACGGUGACCCGAAAUAGUAAAAUGGUUUCUGGAUGAUAACUCAAGAACGCUUAUGCCUAGGAUCAUGAAACUUCAUAGGUACAUUGAUCAUGACUGGCAGAUGACCCCUAUUGAUUUUCAGGUCACUAGGUCAAAGGUCAAGGUCACAGUGACAAAACAACAUAUUAACAAAAUGGCUGUCACUACAACUGAGAGCCCAUAUGGGGGGCAUGCAUGUUUUACAAACAGCCCUUGUAUU